CAGUGUAUGUCAGACUUCCAAGAAAAGCUCGCAAUGCCACAAAUAGAAAAUGCCUGUACCAUAACCGACACAGGUGGGUAGGUAGAGUAUACUAAGGGGCGCGAGAUAACUCUCUCUAAGGAACUCGGCAAAAUGACUCCGUAACUUCGGGAGAAGGAGUGCCUUAUUUAUAAGGUUGCAAUAACAAGAUCCAAGCAACUGUUUAUCAAAAACACAGGUCUCCGCUAAGUCGUAAGACGAUGUAUGGGGGCUGACGCCUGCCCAGUGCCAGAAGGUUAAAGAAGUUGGUUAGUGUAUGCGAAGCUGAUGACUGAAGCCCUGGUGAACGGCGGCCGUAACGAUAACGGUCCUAAGGUAGCGAAAUUCCUUGUCGGGUAAGUUCCGACCCGCACGAAAGGCGUAAUGAUUUGGAUACUGUCUCGGAGAGAGGCUCGGUGAAAUAGACUUGUCUGUGAAGAUGCGGACUACCUGCACCAGGACAGAAAGACCCUAUGAAGCUUUACUGUAACUUGAAAUUGGAAUUGGGCUUUGCUUGCGCAGUAUAGGUGGGAAGCGUUGAAAAUAUUCUUGCGGGAGUAUUGGAGCUAUCAGUGAGAUACCACUCUUGUAAUGUUAGAUUUCUAACUUUGAACCAUAAUCUGGUCAAAGAACAGUUUCAGGUGGGCAGUUUGACUGGGGCGGUCGCCUCCCAAAUGGUAACGGAGGCGUACAAAGGUUUCCUCUGAACGGAUAGAAAUCGUAUCUAGAGUGUAAAGGCAUAAGGAAGCUUGACUGUGAGACCUACAAGUCGAGCAGGGACGAAAGUCGGUCUUAGUGAUCUGACGGUACUGAGUGGAAAGGCCGUCACUCAACGGAUAAAAGUUACUCUAGGAUAACAGGCUGAUCUCCCCCAAGAGUUCACAUCGACGGGGAGGUUUGGCACCUCGAUGUCGGCUCAUCGCAUCCUGGGGCGGUAGUACGUCCCAAGGGUUGGGCUGUUCGCCCAUGAAAGCGGUACGCGAGCUGGGUUCAGAACGUCGUGAGACAGUUCGGUCCAUAUCCGGUGUAGGCGCUAGAAUAUUGAGAGGAGCCUUCUUUAGUACGAGAGGACCGAGAAGGACACACCGCUGGUGUACCAGUUAUCGUGCCAACGGUAAACGCUGGGUAGCUAUGUGUGGAGUGGAUAACCGCUGAAAGCAUCUAAGUGGGAAGCCCACCUCGAGAUGAGUAUUCUC
rnacentral:rRNA from 1 species